UAUAGAAAGAUAGUGAUGGUUUGGUUUUCUCUCUCAAAUAAAUUAAAAAAAGGAAAACUUUAAAUAUCCUCUCUGUAGUUUCACAGUUUCUUAUUUUAGUACCAUAUGGUUUAAAAUGUAUUAAGUUAUAUAGUACCUUAUGGUUUCGCACUUUCUCACUUUAAUACCCCGUGGUUUAAAGUGUGUCAAGUUAGUAUUCUGUGAUUUAUUUUUGUAUCUAGUACCCUAUGGUUUUAUUUUUCUCUUUUAAUUAUUCAUUUCGGAGUUUUUUUUUCAUUAAAUUAAUGACAAAGUUAAAACUAAAGGGUACUAAAAUGAAUAUUCGAUAAACCUGGGUAGGGUAUCUGAAGUUUUUUGUAUAUAAUUUAACGAAAUAUUAAACCACAGGGUACUAAAGUGAGAAAGUGCAAAACCACAGGGUACUAAUUUAAUACAGUUUAAACCACAGGGUAUUAAAGUGAGAAAUUAUAAAACCACAGAGUACUAACUUGAUACACUUUAAACCACAGGGUUCUAAAGUGAGAAACGGCGAAACUACGGGGCGUAUUUGAAGUUUUCCCAUUAAACAAAGGUAAUGGUUUGGUUUGGACCACUAACAAAACAUUCCUUAAUAGAUUAAAUAAGGAGAAAACAUUAACCAAAAAAAAAUCCUCCUGCAAAGAAUCUAGAGGUUAAACAAAAGAAAAAAUUUCAAAUAUCAUUUAUGUGAUUUCGCACUUUUUCACUUUAGUAUCCUAUAUUUUAAAAUGUAUCACUUUCGUACCUUGUGAUUUUAUUUUUCUCUUUCUGUUAUCUCUCCACUAAUUUUUUUGUUAAAUCAGUGACAAAAUUAAAACUAAAGAAUGUUAAAGUAAAUAUUGGAUAAACCAUAAGCAGGAUAUUUGAAAUUUUUUGUAUAUGAUUUAAUGAAAAGUUAACAGAGAGGGUGAUGAAAAGAGAAAAAUGAAAUCACAGGAUGCUAAAUUGAUACACCUUAAACCGCAGGGUACAAAAAUGAGAAACUGUGAAACCACAUAAAUGGUAUUUGAAGGUUACCCUAAAUAAAAAGGUACAUAAAAUAACUAUUGUUAAAUAUAGAAACAUUAUUGUUUACUGGUUUAAGUUUUUGAAGAAUACUUAUUUUUUUAUAUAAUUUUACAUAUUAUCAAAGUAUGAAGUUUUAAACUCGGAUCAUGUUAGGCUCCUAUUAUUUUUUAUUUUUUUUCACUUAUUUAAUUCAAGUCUAAUCUAAACAUAAGAAAGAGUGUUAAAUAUAAAGGGAUAAUUGCCUAUAUACUCCUAAUGCGUCUGAAAAUAUCCGAUCUACCCCUACUUUUUUUUUCUUUCUAAAAUGCCCCUCAUAUGUUCCACCGUUAUUUCAAAAUACCCCCGCAGUUAUCUCCUGUUAGCUUAACUCAAGUUAAACAUCGAUUAAAUGUAUACUAGAGUUAAAACCUAUAUAAAAUACCUAUUUUACCCCUACCUUAUUAUGCUAAUGUCUUAAGUUAUCCUCUUUCUCUCUCAACUUAAUCGCCGGCUCCUCCGCCUCCACCUCGCCUCAUCUCCUUCUAGACCACGGGUGAGGAUGACGCCCGCCGCCUCCCAGACCACAGGCGGGGACCUGCGGCGGCCCGGCGGAGGAGGAGGAGGGGUGCCGCGACGACGCGGCGGCGCUGCGGCUGAAGCUGGCGGCGAUGGCGGCGAUCCUGGUGGCUGGGAUGGUGAGCGUGGCGAUCCCGUUGGCGGCAGAGGAGGAGGAAAGGUGUCGCGACGACACGGCGGCGUUGCGACUGAAGCUGGCGGCGAUGGCGGCGAUCUUGGUGGUGGGGAUGGUCGGCGG
rnacentral:lncRNA from 1 species